rnacentral:rRNA from 1 species
AUUGAACGCUGGCGGCAGGCCUAACACAUGCAAGUCGAGCGGAUGAAGGGAGCUUGCUCCUGGAUUCAGCGGCGGACGGGUGAGUAAUGCCUAGGAAUCUGCCUGGUAGUGGGGGAUAACGUCCGGAAACGGGCGCUAAUACCGCAUACGUCCUGAGGGAGAAAGUGGGGGAUCUUCGGACCUCACGCUAUCAGAUGAGCCUAGGUCGGAUUAGCUAGUUGGUGGGGUAAAGGCCUACCAAGGCGACGAUCCGUAACUGGUCUGAGAGGAUGAUCAGUCAAACUGGAAGUGAAGCACGGUCGGGACGCGUACGGGUGGCAGAAGGGGGAGUUAUUGGAGAAGGGGGAAAAAUGUGACAAAGCCAUGCGGCGGGUGGAAAGAAAGUCUUCGAAUGAUAAACUACUUGAAGUGGGGGGAAAGGGGAGUAAAUAAAUACCUUCGUGUGUUGAGGUUCCAAACAGAAAGAGCGCCGGCGAACUUCGUG